GACCCGGGCACCGCCUGCACCGCCUGGUAGGUGACAGGGCCGAGAGGGGCUGCUGGGCUGGCCUCUGGCUCAGCCGGGGUCUGCACUUGGCGGUGCUGCUGCUUCAGCUCCUCGAUCUGCUGCAGGGUGAAGAAGGGGCGGCGGCGGCAGGGCGGCUCCUCGGGGUGCCUCUGUGCCCACUCCUCAAAGGAGUCGGCGUGGCGGCAGUGCACGUGGAGGCGCAGGUUCUUC
rnacentral:lncRNA from 1 species